GCAGGCUUCCUGCAGGGAGCCCGAUGUGGGACUCCAUCCGGGGUCUCCAGGAUCACACCCCAGGCUGCAGGCGGCGCCAAAUUGCUGCACCAUCGGGGCUACCCCUAAAUAAAUAAAAUCUUAAAAAAAAAAAAAGUGCCUAGGUUUAAGUCCUAACUGUGCCACUUGGGAGCCAGUUUGUUAGUGUCCUUAUCUGUAAAAUGGGGUAAUUGGUUCCUGCGUCCCUGUGAGCCAGCUCCGUGCAGAGGCCCUGGCCAUUCCUCUCUGCUGAGGAUGUUUACACGAUGAUGCAGAUGUGUACUACCUGCUUGUGGAGAAACUGGCAAGUGGUUUUACCUUUAGACUUUGUGACUCCUGGCAAGUCAAUUGAGAGGGUUCAUCCAUCCCCCCAAAGGUUUACCUGGGAGCCUAUUGUAUGGAAAGUACCCCUGGGCUCUGUGUUAGAGAUGCAGUGGUGAGCAGGACCAACAAGGCCCCUGUCUGGCAGGGGUUCUAUUUUGGGGAUGUGAGGAAACAGAGGGUGGAGAAGUUUGAUAAUCUCAGGUGGCAUAGUGCUAGGGAGGAAAUAAAACCUGGUGGCGGCAUUGUGUGUGAAUGGGGAAUAUGUUAGGAGGCUGGGGAAGUCAUGUGGCAAAGUGAAGUUUAAUCUGAGGCCUGAAGGACAUUCCGGCCAGAGGGAGCAGCCGGUGAAAAGAACACUAGAAGGACUGAACAGAGACCAGAGUGGCUCGAGCAUAAGAGCCGAGGGGUGAUGGAAGCGCGAAGGUGGAGGGCCUUGUAGCCUGUAGUGAAGAUCUGUAAGGCCCAGAAAGACGGAAGGAGAACCACUGAAGAGGGAACGAUGGUGCCUGGUGGUAUUGGAUAGAAGAAGCUCUGAGAACAUUCCAGCAAAGUUCCCCAAAGCUUGAAGGAACCAUGAGCCCCCACCCACAGACUCUACACUCCUGGGUCCUGGGAGGGUCUCAGGUCCUGCCUGUGCUCAGAGCCUCGGGGACA